GCAGUCCCACGGUAAUACGGAGGGUGCAAGCGUUAAUCGGAAUUACUGGGCGUAAAGCGCACGCAGGCGGUCUGACAAGUCAGAUGUGAAAUCCCCGGGCUUAACCUGGGAACUGCAUUUGAAACUGUCAGGCUGGAGUCUUGUAGAGGGGGGUGGAAUUCCAGGUGUAGCGGUGAAAUGCGUAGAGAUCUGGAGGAAUACCGGUGGCGAAGGCGGCCCCCUGGACAAAGACUGACGCUCAGGUGCGAAAGCGUGGGGAGCAAACAGGAUUAGAUACCCGAGUAGUCCCUGUCUCUUAUACA
rnacentral:rRNA from 1 species